rnacentral:rRNA from 1 species
ACUUUCAACAACGGAUCUCUUGGUUCUGGCAUCGAUGAAGAACGCAGCGAAAUGCGAUACGUAGUGUGAAUUGCAGAAUUCAGUGAAUCAUCGAAUCUUUGAACGCACAUUGCGCCCGCUAGUAUUCUGGCGGGCAUGCCUGUUCGAGCGUCAU